rnacentral:rRNA from 1 species
GACGAACCGUGCGAACGUUGUUCGGAAUCACUGGGCUUAAAGGGCGCGUAGGCGGCAAAUCAAGUCCGGGGUGAAAUCCCUCGGCUCAACUGAGGAAUUGCACGGGGAAACUGACGGGCUUGAGUUCGGGAGAGGGAAGCGGAAUUCCGGGUGUAGCGGUGAAAUGCGUAGAUAUCCGGAGGAACACCGGUGGCGAAGGCGGCUUCCUGGGACCGACACUGACGCUGAGGCGCGAAAGCUAGGGGAGCAAACGGG